UACGUAGGGGGCAAGCGUUGUCCGGAAUUAUUGGGCGUAAAGCGCGCGCAGGCGGCUUCUUAAGUCUGAUGUGAAAGCCCACGGCUCAACCGUGGAGGGUCAUUGGAAACUGGGAAGCUUGAGUGCAGAAGAGGAGAGUGGAAUUCCACGUGUAGCGGUGAAAUGCGUAGAGAUGUGGAGGAACACCAGUGGCGAAAGCGGCUCUCUGGUCUGUAACUGACGCUGAGGCGCGAAAGCGUGGGGAGCAAACAGG
rnacentral:rRNA from 1 species